GACGAACGCUGGCGGCGUGCUUAACACAUGCAAGUCGAACGGAAAGGCCCUGCUUUUGUGGGGUGCUCGAGUGGCGAACGGGUGAGUAACACGUGAGUAACCUGCCCUUGACUUUGGGAUAACUUCAGGAAACUGGGGCUAAUACCGGAUAGGAGCUCCUGCUGCAUGGUGGGGGUUGGAAAGUUUCGGCGGUUGGGGAUGGACUCGCGGCUUAUCAGCUUGUUGGUGGGGUAGGGGCUUACCAAGCCUUUGACGGGUAGCCGGCCUGAGAGGGUGACCGGCCCCCUUGGGCCUGCGAUACGGCCCAGACUCCUACGGUAGGCAGCAGUGGGGAAUAUUGCACAAUGGGCGGAAGCCUGAUGCGGCAACGCCGCGUGCGGGAUGACGGCCUUCGGGUUGUAAACCGCUUUCGCCUGUGACGAAGCGUGAGUGACGGUAAUGGGUAAAGAAGCACCGGCUAACUACGUG
rnacentral:rRNA from 1 species